CCUACGGGAGGCAGCAGUGAGGAAUAUUGGUCAAUGGGCGUAAGCCUGAACCAGCCAAGUAGCGUGAGGGAUGAAGGUUCUAUGGAUCGUAAACCUCUUUUAUAAGGGAAUAAAGUGCGGGACGUGUCCCGUUUUGUAUGUACCUUAUGAAUAAGGAUCGGCUAACUCCGUGCCAGCAGCCGCGGUAAUACGGAGGAUCCGAGCGUUAUCCGGAUUUAUUGGGUUUAAAGGGUGCGUAGGCGGCCUUUUAAGUCAGCGGUGAAAGUCUGUGGCUCAACCAUAGAAUUGCCGCUGAAACUGGGAGGAUUGAGUAUGUUUGAGGCAGGAGGAAUGCGUGGUGUAGCGGUGGAAUGCUUAGAUAUCACGCAGAACCCCGAUUGCGAAGGCAGCCUGCCAAGCCAUGACUGACGCUGAUGCACGAAAGCGUGGGGAUCAAACAGGAUUAGAUACCCCAGUAGUC
rnacentral:rRNA from 1 species